CCGCCUGUCACACACACACAACUCUGAGGCUGGUCCCCUGGCUGUGGAGACUUUUACCCACUAGCCCCGGGUCAUUCCCACCUGUGGUUACGGCAUGCUCAGCCAAGGAGAAUUGAGAUGCCCUGUUUUUUCCAUCUGAACAUCCUGAGUGGAGGGGAGAAGAGCUGGAUACAGAGUUUGCUUGGGGUUCAGGAUGGAUGCCUCAGGAGUUUCUCUCACCCUCGUCCAGCUCUGUUGGUUGAUGGCUACUACCCAUUGGUUACCUG